rnacentral:lncRNA from 1 species
UGCCGGGGAUGGUGGAUAUAGCACAGGUGGUGGUGGUGGACAAGGGGUCUCCACUGGAGGUGGCUUCACAACGGGAGGACUUGGGUAUACAGGAGGCGUUGGUGUUGGCGGCUUCACAAUGGGAGGACUUGGGUAUACAGGAGGCUUUGGAACUGGCGGCUUCACAAUGGGAGGACUGGGGUAGACGGGAGGCUUUGGAACUGGCGGCUUCACAAUGGGAGGACUGGGGUAGACGGGAGGCUUUGGCGCUGGCGGCUUUACAAUAGGAGGACUGGGGUAGACGGGAGGCUUUGGUGGUGGUGAAAUGACUGGGGGUUUAGGAUAGUGAGGUGGUGGGGGAUUAACGACAGGAGGUUUGGGUACAUGAGGAGGCUUUACGACGGGAGGGUUGGGAGGAUGAUGAGGCGGAUGUUUUGGUGGUUUGGGGUGAAAUGGGGGCUUCACAAUGGGAGGAUGUUUGGGUGGGAAAGUUGGAGGACAGUUGGGUGGAGGAGUUGGACGGGGACAUAGAGGACAAGCAAAAGAAGCAAGCAAAGCUCCCAAGUUCAGAAGCAGGACAAUGAGAUUGGGUAAACUAUAGUUCCCCAUCACUGAACUUGCUACUUUCCUCCCUGCUUAAAAGAGAGCUUAGUUCAUUUUCCCAGCUUCAUCCAAAUGAUUCAUUUAUAGAUCCAUCAUGCAGUGUGCAGACAAAAGGAAGGCGAGGUGUAUCCAUCAUGCAAAUUAGCAUAUUUCCUGAUAAUUUAUUAGAGCCUUGACUUUGAUGAAGUGAGAUUACUCACAACUUCCAACUUUGCAAAAUCUAGACCCAACUUUUAUGCUGAUUUCAUUACCAACAAGGGAUAAUAGUCCGAUUUAUAUAUUGUGUGGCACGGAUUUUGAAGGGGAAGGGAAUGGAGAAACCACAUGCUUGAUUGAGGACAUUUUUUAACUCCUAGUACCCAGUUGGAGUGUCGGACCCGUGAUUUGCUACUUGCAUUUUAUUUUUCUUUUCCUCAAAAAAAAAAAAUCUCUUCUUGCAUAAGAUUACAAACAAUCGAUUUCACAUUCGCAACCACAUGUCCAGUCCUCAAUGUCACCCGCAAUAUAUUCCCUUUUUUUUGGUUCACAUACCCUUAACUAAUACGUACGAGAGCGGGAGCCCUUGCCUGAUUAGGCCACUGAGCCAUGUUCCAUUGUCGCCCAAACAAGUACAAACAAAGGGUCCAGUACACUACGUAAGGGAUCUAUAAAUUAGACUGUUCUUUUUAAAAUACCUAUAACAAAAAUAUUAUGAUACAUAAGCAACUUCAAUAAACACCAUCAGAUUAAAAACAUUGUCAGUGUUGUAACUUAAAUCCAACAUCCAUCAAGCAAUUCCACCUGGGUAACUCUUUUUCAUAUCCUGGAGAGGACAUAUUUUAUCAAUAUUUCGUUCAUUGAUUUUCCAGCUGCUGUUAAUAAAUAUCAAUGGAGAGCCAAUAAGUGGAGUAGGUUUGAAGUAUUAAGUCAAUAUAUUGAUGAUGAAUUUUGGGGGUAAAAUCAAGAAUGGGGCACAUGUAAUGUAAGGGAGCAUCAGACUAAAGUCCAAAGUCUGAUGUUCACAAUUUUGGCUCUAUAUCUCAUUGUCAAAAUCAGCUGCAAUGUAGUGCUGACUGAAUCUCAAAUUUUAUUUUUAUAUAAAUGACGUAGUCAAAGUGUUUAAUUUUGAAACUAAAAUUUUGUUAUUAUCAUUCUCUUUUUCCAUUUAUAAAUUAUAAUAUGUACUCAAAAACCCAUAUUAUUUUAUUAAAACUAAAAUUAUUUAUAUUUAUAUUCUUAUUAAGUUCGUUUACCAUUAGGUUGAAAAUUAGGAAUGACAACGGGUUGGAUAUCUGUCAUUUUUAGAUUAAUUGAAUCUGUAAAUAUAUUUAAAAACCCAAAUUAGCAAAGUAUGCGAGUAUUACUAUCCAAAACUAAAUUAAAUAUCACUAUCUUUCGGAUUUUCAAAUCUACAAAAAUUUGAAUUCAAAUCUGCAAAAUAAUAUAAAUUCAAACAAAAAAUUAAUUUUUUUAUAAAUAACAAUAUAUAAUUGUAAAUUAACAAAAGUAAUUUAAUUAAAAAUCCAAGCAAAUUAAAAGCAAUAAUUUCACGACAAUUUAAAUAUAGCUAAUAAGUUAAACAUAAUUUAUGAAUUCUUCGAUACAAUGCUAGCAUGUGAAAUUAUCUAUAUUUUUCUCUAGUUUAUACUCUAUAUUGGUAUGACUAAUUACAUGUAUAGUAAACUAGACCAAAUAUAUUAAUUAGUCGGCAUGAUCGGUUAAACCAUCCUGAUCAAUAAUGAUGCAACAAAUGAAAAUUUACAUAGAUAUUUAUUAAAGAAUCUAGAGAUUCUUCAUUUUAAAGAUUUCUCAGGUGUUCUUUGUUCCCAAAGAAGAUUAUUAUAGAAUCUCACUAGCAAAAGUUGAGAUUGAAUCUUUUCCAUUUUUUAAAGAAAUAUGGAUUCAUUUAUCCAACAAGUGGAUGUUAUGAUAUGAUUUUGGUAGAUGCAUCUACAAGAUAAUCACAUGUGAGUUAUUAAAUCGCAAUCUGUAAUUUGCGAGAUUCGUUUAAGAACAAAAUUUUUAGAUUAUGCAAUCGAGAAAAAUUUGCUAAUGUUUGUCAAUUUAUUACUCAAACUUUCAAUUAUUAUUGUAUGCUAGAUAUUCGGUACAAGUAAGCAUCGCAAAGUCUGAUGUUUAUGUGUAUAAAAUGGUUUAGUAGAAUUAAUAAUUCAAUGCCUUCAAUUAGUAGCUAAACCAUAUCUUUUGAGAACAAAACUUUUUUGUAUAUAUGUAUAAGGAUAUGAUAUUUUACAUGAAUCAGCAUUUGUUUGCAUCAUGCCAAUAAAUUAUGAUAAAUAUUUCUCAUUACAAUCGACUUUUGGUCAGUAGCCAAAUACAACCCAUUUUUAAAAGUUUUGAAUGUGUGAUGUAUGCUCAACUUGCUCCACCACAAUGCACAAAAUGGGCAUUCAAAGAAAGUUGGGAACAUAUUAAUUAUGAGUCUCCUUAUGUUAUUAGAUGUUCUGAUCGAAUUGAAGAUUCAAUUAUGACAUGAUUUGGUGAUCACAACUUUAAUUUUGAUAGUUUUCCCAAUAUUAGAGGGAGAGAUAUAAUAGUUAGAUGAAGUAAAUUUGAAAUAAAUUAUCAUUAUUUAGGUCCUCGUAGAAAGUAAUUUAAACUAAUAGUUCAAAUGAAUAAUUCACCUUAUUGCAAGUUAACUACUAGAUGUAUUUAUUGACCUGAUGAGAAUAAUCAAGUGUUAUAUGCCAACUAGUGUUUUUAUUUGAAUCAAAGUCUCAGUUGGAUAAUCUGUUAAAAUAGAUUGAAAGUAUUGCAUGCCUGAAGCAUGAUAAAUUGAUUUGCUCUAAAGAUAAAAAUUCUCGUAAAAGAAAAUAAUAAAUCAAAAUGGUCAUAUAGUGAAGGCAAGUGCCCUUAGAUAUGACUAAUUAUUAAAAUUCCAAAAGUGAUUCAAGUACCUGAAAUUGAAUGUGGAAAUAAUUAAAGUAAAUAGAUCUCGAUAAGUUAUGUCAAUAUGAGAAAAUAUGGAAUCGAAAUAGAAAGUUGUUGAAAACAAUUUUUGCAUGGAAUAGUAUUGUUGAGAUAAUAAAAGAAAAAUAAGAUCUUGAAUAAAUUUGUUGGGAAAUAUAGACAUGGAAUAAAUUGACUAAAAUAGAAAGACGAUUCAAGUAUAAUUAAAUUCGUGAAGUUUCUGGACCAAUAGUCUAAACGUUUAAAGGUAAAAAACCAGUGAGGGCACAAAAUGAGUAGUUUUGCAAAAAUGAAUUAAGAAAUAUGAAAUUUUUCACUAAGUUCUAACAUUGAUUUUGAAAAGAUGUUCUUUUGUGGUGGAUGCAAAAACUUUGUUUGACAGUGCUUGAAAAUUUGACAAGCAUCUAACGAUAAGCCUUGAAGGAUUUAGAAUACUGAAAACAUAUAGAAAUUCUUGGGAAAUUGUUCUAUACGUUUGAGUAAUUAUUUAUAAAAAUUAAAAUAAUUUGAACAUAUGUGGUAAAUUUGACUCAGCGAAUAAUAGUUGAAAGAAGAUUGUAUAAUGAUCUAACAUACGCAUGUAUAAAAAGAUCAUGAUUAAAGUUUACUAUGAUUAUUGUUGAAACUCUUGAAGAGAUCAAAAUACAUUUACUCAAAAUUAUGCCACACUCAUAACUUUUAAAAAAACAUUUAUCAAAUUCAUUCAAGUAAUAAUUUGAAAAGCUAAUAUUGAAUAUUGAAUACGUAGAAUAUGAGAUAUUAUGUAGUGUUGUCACUUUUUCCAUUAGCUUUUGUCCCUUUGGAUUUUUCUAGUAAAGUUCAUAAUAAGUGUAUUAUAGAUAUGUGUAUUAUUUUUCAUUCCUAAGAUUUAUUUUUCUCACGGGAUUUUUAUUUUAAUAAAGUUUUAACGAUGCACAUUAUCUAUCAAUGAAUAUCCAAAGGAGAGUAUUAUAAAUAUUUUAUUAUAAUAGAAGUGGAUGUCCAUUAAGAUAAAAAGAGAUUAACAUAAAUUAGAACUCUAAUGUUCAAUAAAAUAAAAUUGUAUAUAAUUUAUAAAUAUAAAUUUUGGAAAAAUAUAAUAGAGUGUUGUCUUUGUUGUCGUAUUUCUCUUAUACUCUCCCUUAUUUACAACAUAACUAUUGUUUUAAAAAUUUAUUAUUAAUUUUAAAAUAAAAAAAAAACUAGUGAGGGUGAGAAAAGUAUAUAUAUAUAUAUAUGGUUAAAAAGAGAGACAAAUUUGUUAAUAAUUGGUCCGUAAGGCGUAUGGAGGACAGAGGUUGCAGCAGCCCAUACCCCACCCACGGACAGAUAACAUAGGCUUUGUAAUUGUUUUCAUAAAUCCCAACCUUCUUACUUCUUUGUCCUAUUAAAACCAAAAUACAAAAAAGGUAGUCGUCAAAAUAAAAAUUAGAAAAUCUUCUAUGGUAAUUAUUGAACAUUAUUUCAUAUAUUUUACUACCUCUUUUUACACAAUCUGAGCUGGUUGUUAUGUAAUAGAAGUUUAGAAUAAAAAAUUAAAAAUAUAAAUUACGUCUAAGGUUGAAUCUAAAAGAAUAAAUGGAGUGAUCGGGAUUACUUCCGAUCCACAUUUUAAACCCCUUUAAAAAAAAUGCGAAUUGGUACCAACACAUGCUAAAAUCAACAUGAUUAUAAGUUAUAAACUAUUAAUCUAGAUUUUAGGUGGUAAAAAUUAUCCAUUUAUAUUUCUGUAUGAGUGUAUAUACAAUCAAUAAAUUAUAUUAAAAGUAAAUAAAGAAGCUAUAUUUUGACCAAAUGGUGUCUUAUAGUUCAACCACUAUAUUACAGGUGUAUUAAAUAUAGAUUUUUGUUGCUACCGAUGGUUUAAUUAGUGAGUGGAGUUAGAGUCAGGGAAGAAGAAGAAAGACUUUCAUAGGUGAGAAAGAGAGGAAAAGAGAAAUAUCUGGAUGCUUAAAGUUAGUCAAUCUAUUGACGGUUUUUCCACCUAAAUAUAAAUGAACGAUACAUAAAUGGAUGUAGGAAUGAUAAGUAUUCGAGUGUGGUUAUUAUAACAUGUGUUACAAUGUUUGCCUUACUCUUAAUCCACAACGUUAAGGAUUGACGAAAUUUUGGUUGAUAAGAUCUUAUUCUCGCAAGUAAUUUAAGCUCACAAAGCAUCUCAUAGAUCGUGAGGCGAGUAUGCAUAUAAACGAACUUCUAAAUUGAAAAGCUGCCGACCUGAGGUUGAGGUCUAUUUCUCUUCAUUUCUAGCCUCACCACUUAGCAAAACCUGUCACGUUUUAAUUACAAAAUUCUUUGUAUGCAGUAGGCAUUAUGAAGUGAAACCAAAUAUGAUUCGAAAAGUACAGAUAUGUGAGUUACUAGAGCCGACAGUAACAAGCAUAGAUCACGAUUAGAGGUGUUAAUAGGUAAGAUUCAAGUUAGAAUUAAACAUGUUAAUAAAUUUUAUGUUUGUUCAAACUCGCUCGAUUUGAAAUAUGCACUUAAAACCUAAUAUUGAUGGCUCUGCCACCACUAAUCCUGGCUAAGCUAGAGCUGGUAUAAAAAUUAGAGACAGUGAUGGUGAUUGGGUUAUUGAGGCUUAUGGGCACAAUCCCUAUGCAACGUGCACAAUCUGAACUUUGGGUGCUUUAGUAUGGCCUUAAAACUCGCUAAGUAGGCCAAUAUCUCUAGCUUCAUUAUAGAGAUCAAUGCUACGAGUGUCAUUAGUCUAAUCCAAAAUUGACUUGUCUCUAACCCAUUAUUAUAUACCUUGGUUUAUGAAUGCAGGACUCUACUCAAUCAGCUUCAGCAUUAUCAGCUAAAACACACGUUUAAGGUGGAUAAUCAGUGUACAGAUGCAGUUGCGAUAUUAGGAAGCAACUUUCCAAAUCCCUCAAAAUCAUAUUUUACAUUUUCUACUAGCUAUUUUGUUAUUUAUCAGCAGCCUCCAGGCUGUUUAAUCGCCGCGGGGGAGUGAUAUCUCGUGACAUUUUUGUUAUUUAAUUCCGACUUAAGAAUGACAGGAACGCAUAAUUUCAAAUUGAAUUUGACCAACUGGUUAAUGCAAUCACCUUUCCGCAUAAGGUACGACAAUAAAACAAUAAACCAAAUAGCCAUAACCAAGUUAUCAGAACAAAAUUAAACAACUUGCCACCAUUUUUAGUUUCAUAACGCCGAUACCAUGUUAAGGAGUUGGAAGAAACUUCUCAAUAAAAAAAAAUGGCCCAAAAACAGGAUUUUGAACAAAAUAUGAAAGGAUAACUAAAGCUGGCUUUAGACUCACCUGACAAUCCGAAAACAAAAACUAAUGUCUUUAACAAGUCAAAUACCAAAACAUAGUCCUCGAAGAAAGCAACCUUACUUCUUGUCUUCCUUCUCAGCCUCAGCAGCUUUCUUCAAUCGGGCACCAAUGUGUCGUUCAUUCGUACGUUCCACGCGGAGCUUGUUAUAGGCCUUGAAUGACUUCAUCUCCUCUGUGACCUUCACAAGCUCCACGGAAGGCUUCUCGCGAGAAAUAGGCAUGUAUGAUCCCUGGACUUGGGUUGCAGUUGCAAGCUCCUCAGCAGUAGAAUCACCAGCCUAUACCAUCACACAGAACAAACAACAAUUAGAAGAAACAACAGCAAGGAUUUAACAAUUUCUCACAGCAAAUAGGAAACUUAAAAUUCACCUUAAACUUGCGAGCUUGUCUCGGGAAGACAACAAGUUUGGCCUUGUAAGUCUUAAGCCUCUGAACAUUGGCUUGAAGACCUUCAAGGGAUUUGUUCUUCCGACGGUGAUCGACUGCAAUACCAAUGGUAGGUGCAAGUUUCUUUGAAAUACCAGCAGCCUGAAUAGAUACAAGAACAUACAAAGUAAAUCAACAUUAUCUGAUGAAAUCAACUAUACGAAAACAUCUAGACAUUUAUAAAAGCCCCAACAGAAACCUAUGCCCUUUUUUUUUAUCAUUUUGAUUCUUAAUUUUAAACUUGAUUGUCGCUAACUAAUAUCCAAACUUGGUUAUCAAUCACAGGCAGAGUACCAAAGCAUUCAAUCGAUAUAACAAUUAAAACCAAAUUCAUUAAGAGUCUAAUCCACAAAUCUAUGUGUUUAUAUAAGAAUAAAAAUAGAAAACCUGAAACCGUGAUAGAUCAAUUUUGGUACAAGAAAAAGACAUCUAAAAAAUAAGCCCCAAAAAGUGUAUGAAAGAAAUUGAGAAAAUAGAACGUCAUACCUUAAGCUCUUCAAGAGUGAAACCCUUGCCAGCUCUCAACUUCAUGUUGUACUUCAAAGUUUGGCCAUGGACGAUUGGGCGAAGAGGUCCAGAAGUUGGUCUUGGAAAGAUCCUUACCGCCUUCUUUUGCCUUGCUGGAAACGUCCCCAAAACCCUCAAUUACACAAAUUUAAGCCACUCACACAAACAUCAUCGCUCUUAAGAAAGGCAACCCAGAAAAGAAAACUCACCAAUCCUUCUCCUAGCCUUUCUUGCUGGCUGAUUGAACCAGGUUUUCACAUAGUUCUGCCAGUGCUUUUUGAAGUGCCCAUUUGGUACAACGUUGUUAUGCUUAACCAUGACUUACCUGUCAUUUCAAUGCAAGAAACAGAACAAAAAUUAUCAAAUUAUUAUAAGAAACCGAAAAGACAGAUGGGAAGAAGAAACGAAAAUAGAAAAGGCGGAGGAGCACCUCCGGCUGAAGACGGGAAGGGGAUGUUUUAAGAAUUUAGACUGCUCUCUUUCUAGGGUUUUCUUAAUCUUGGGCUAUAUAUAAAACCCUAACUAUUAGGUGUCCUUAGUCAAAUCACUUCGAAAGUUCAUAAAAGAAUCCAGUGAAAUUAAUGGGGAAAUUCACCUAAUUAAAAAAAUUACAAUUACUAAACCUUUUGUAGUUAUUUGUUGGUGUGGCAUUUUUUUAUUUAGUAUAAUAAUAACCUCAAUUUUUAUAAUUUUUUUUUCAAUUUAACUCUAGUUUUAUAUAAAAGUUAUAAAAAAAUCUCAAAAUUAUUUUUAAAAUAAAAAAAUCUAUAUAAAAAUUCUAGAAAAAGAAAAUCUUGAAAAUGUUGUUGAAGAACUAGUAUGUAUGAGAAAUAAAGAAAUUAUCAUUCAAUACAAUCCAAUAAUAAAUUAAAAAUAGAACAAAUCUUUUAUAAAAAAAAGUUAAAUCAAUACAUGCUUCAUCAAUAUUUCUCGAAACCAAAUUAAUAAUAUCUUCAAGUUAAAUUUCAUGCCCCUAAAGAACAUCUAAAACUAAUAUUGUAGAGACUUAAAAAUAAUUCAAUUAUCAUUACAUGCUCUUGCGUUCUCGAAACUUAACGGUUAAAUAACCUAAUAUGCACAUUUUAAUGCUUUCAAACCAUAGCGAAAACAUCCCUAACUUAAUCAAACCUAUACCACACACAAUUACAACAAUAUAUCACAUGAUAGCCUAUUCAAUCAUUACUCAAACAUAGCAUUUCAUGCACUACAACAUAACAAGGUAAAUUGCAUCAUUAAACACCUAUAAUCAUGCAUCAUUUUCCACUAACCAGGCAUUACAAUGCAUCACUUAAAUAUUAUGAGUCAUGUUACCAAAACCAACAAAAUUAGUAUUAAACCAUAAGACUCUUUCUAGGUACAUCUUAUUUACUAUAUACAUACAAAAUACAUACAACUUGGUCCGAGCGAAGUCGCUAAGUCUUGAAUGCUUUCAACUUAAUCUACUAAGCUUUAUUGAAACACGAGCACAUAAAUAACAAACUGUGCGUUGAAUAAUGUAUACUCAAUGGUGCUAACAUAAAUUGAUAAUAAUGCAUGAUCAAAUAUAGCUUGUAAACUAAUUAUAAUUCAUAUAUAAACAUGCUUAUAAUAAGCAUCUUUCUCCAAAUUCACCAUGUAAUGCUUGCCUAUGGAAUUUCGUAUUCGAUUUAAACCAUGCAUACCAUCAUCUCUAUGUGCUUUCAAAGUCGUACACCACCAUAUCUAACAUCACACUUAGAUGCAAUAUCAUCAUACCAUAGCUAUAACGAUUUCAUUUCUAUAUUGCCUAUAACAUUUUAUAAUAACAUUCAUGUCUCAUUUUACUGAUCAAAUAUAUAUCCAUUUGUUUUUAUAGCAUCAUCAGCCUUAGGUUCGUAAUUCACAAUUCGCAUAAUAUCACUCAUCACUUUAACAUAUGUAUUCAAUUUCAAAAUAUGGCGUAAAUCAAAUAACCGAUAAAAAAUUUCCAUACUUGUGACCUUUAUUAACUAAUUUCUACUCACGAUUAGAUACGAGGAUCAUUAUAUCAAUAUACGCUCAUGGACCCCUAAGGCUUUGAAGUUAGCGUUAGUUUCCAUAGACACCCAAUGCUCUAGGGAUUCUAACUAAGGGCGAGUUUGGAUGGGCGGUGCGUUUACCUGCGGUUAGUGUAAAAACAGCGGUGGCGGUAAGAUUAGAUACUGUAGCGAUACAGUAGCGUGAGACAAAAAGUAAGCUAAACGCACCGCACCGCACCCAUCCUAAAUCUUUGAGGUAUGCUCACGAACACCUAGUAUUUUGGAGAACUAUCAAUACAUUCCCACGAACACCCAAUGCUCUAGGGAAACUAUUUAAUGAUUUACACCCAAUGCUAAAGUGCUACGUUCUCAAGGGAAACUAUUUGAUGAUUUACACCUGUUAGAGUUGUGUGACCCAAAUUCUAAGAGAUUGCUUGCAAGUCAAGUUAAACAAAAAUAUAUUUUCUUUCUAGAAGAUUUAGUAUUUAUUAGUAUAAUAUAUUUGACAUUUAUUAGUAUAGUUUAUUUGACUUACUAAUUUAGCCUAUAAAUAGGCUUUUUUACAAUCUUAGAAAUGACACCCAUUAGAUUAGAACUCAUAACACAUUCAGAGAAUUUUGUGUUUACGUUUUGAGGGUUCUUUGUUUUUCGGGUUUUCGGGGUUUAGUUUUUAUCUCCAUCUUUUGUACUAUUCGUUCUUUUGCCAUUAUAGUAAAAUUAUAUUUGCCCGUGGUUUUUUAUCCUCUUUGGAGGGGUUUUUCCACGUUAAAUUUGUGUGUUCAUCUUCUCAAUUUCUUUUGCUAUUUUUACUUGUUUGUUGCUUAAUCGGGACGAUCCUAACAAGUGAUAUCAGAGCUAGUUUAAUUUUCAUAGAUCAGCCCGUUCAAAUAUGGCAACAACAAGGUUUGAAAUUGAGAAGUUCGAUGGUGAGACAAAUUUCAAUUUGUGGCAAGUUCGGAUGAUGGCAAUUCUAGUUCAAAACGACUUGAAAAAGGUUGUUACAGGGAAAAAGCCUGAGAAUCUAAAUCAAACGGAAUGGGAAGAGCUUGAUGAAAAGGCAUUGUCUGCAAUCCAGUUGUGCCUCGCGAAUACAGUAUUGCAGGAGGUAUUGAUGGAGAAGACCUCAUUCGCCUUGUGGAAAAGGUUAGAAACUCUUUAUGCAGCUAAGUCUCUGGCUAACCGUUUAGUGUUGAAACAACGUCUAUUUACGUUUCGCAUGAAAGAAUGUGAGCUUCUUAAAGAUCACAUCACCCAAUUUAUUACUCUUUUAAAUGAUUUAAAGAACGUUGAGGUUCAUAUUGACGAUGAAGAUCAAGCUAUGCUAUUAUUGUGCUCUUUACCCUCUUCAUACAAGUCUUUCAGGGAGACCCUGAUUUAUGGCAGAGACAAACUCUCGUUCGAAGAUGUGAAGGGUUAUUUGUUGAGUAGAGACAAACUCGACAAUGAGUUUGGUUUGAAUAGCAAAGCAGAUAGGCAAGCUUCCGUUUUGGUAGCAUCAAAGAAACGAGACAAAAGGUGUCGCUAUUGUAAAAAGUUAGGUCACGUCAAAGCAGAUUGUUUUAAACUGUGAAAUAAAAGAGCUGUUGAGAGUAAUGAGGAAGAUAUAGUUGGUGCUAAUUUGGUUGAUGAAGGUGGUGAUGAUUUCUUGUUAGUGUCAACGAGCGACAACUCCAAGCUUAAGUCUGAGUGGAUCCUAGAUUCAGGAUGUUCUUUCCACAUGUGUCCCAAUAGAGAAUGGUUCUCCACAUACAGUUCAAUUGAAGGUGGAGUUGUGCACAUGGGAAACGAUUCAUCUAGUAAGAUAAUCGGUAUUGGUACUGUUAAGAUUAGGAUACACGAUGGGACGAUUAUGACACUCUCAGAUGUAAGGUAUGUACCUGAUUUACGAAAGAAUCUCAUCUCCUUAAGUAUUUUAGACUUGAAAGGAUGCAGAAUCAACAUCGAGUCUAGCGACAUUAAAGUAUCUUGUGGAGCUCUCGUUUUGUUAAGAGGUAAAAGAACUGGUAGUCUUUAUAUUCUGGAAGGUUCUACAGUGACCGGUGAAAUCGGACGUCCCUCUUCCGUUACGGGGUCAAAGUCAACUCGUUUGGAGCAGAGGCAACUUGGUCAUAGGAGGGAAAAAGGUAUGACCGUUUCGUUGAAGAGAGGUUCUCUUUUGGAUGCAGGUUUUAAAAAGUUAGGGCACUGUGUUCGUGAAAAUCAGACUCGGGUUAGUUUUGAUUUGACAGUGCACAAGUCGAAGGCUAGAAGUCUUCCAGCUUCUAAGCAUAGAUUCGACUCAAUUAAUUCCCUGCAUAGUUCAAGAUAGGCUCGUGGCGGGUUUUGGCAAAGAUGGCAUUGAAAGAAUUCGUGUCAAGGUGGAGAUUGUUAGAGUUGUGUGACCCAAAUUCUAAGAGAUUGUUUGCAAGUCAAGUUAAACAAAAAUAUAUUUUCUUUCUAGAAGAUUUAGUAUUUAUUAGUAUAAUAUAUUUGACAUUUAUUAGUAUAGUUUAUUUGACUUACUAAUUUAGCCUAUAAAUAGGCUCUUUUACAAUCUUAGAAAUGACACCCAUUAGAUUAGAACUCAUAACACAUUCAGAGAAUUUUGUGUUUACGUUUUGAGGGUUCUUUGUUUUUCGGGUUUUCGGGUUUAGUUUUUAUCUCCAUCUUUUGUACUCUUCGUUCUUUUGCCAUUAUAGUAAAAUUAUCUUUGCCCGUGGUUUUUAUCCUCUUUGGAGGGGUUUUUCCACGUUAAAUUUGUGUGUUCAUCUUCUCAAUUUCUUUUGCUAUUUUUACUUGUUUGUUGCUUAAUCGGGAUGAUCCUAACAACACCCAAUGUUAAAAGUGCUACGUUCUAAGUGCUAAUAACAUUUAUGCAUAUAUCUUUCAUUACAUCUCCAUUUCCAAUUCAUAUCUCAAACAUGCAUAUAUGUACUUACCUUGUUGGAAUAACAUCAUCCAAUUCAACACGGCAUGACACACUUAUGCUCACCUUUAUUAUAAACCAUUCCAUGAGCUUUGUACUUACCAUUCACUUGCUAUUUAAACAUGACAAUAUAUAUACACACAUUUACAUACCUUUCAUUAUUAAUCAUUCAUUAAAUCUACUUACUUAAUGAAAUCAAAUAAUAGAAUUAAAUUAAGUUAGCACAACCUGAAAAUUCUAGCUGUUCGUCGCUUUCUCUUUUCUUUCAUCUCCGAGAUUUUCGUGUCGUAUUUAACUAUGUAUGAUAAAUCUAAUCACGGAAACGUCAUUAAUUUACAAUCAACAAAAACAUAGACAUCAAUUCAAUCAUAAACACAUAUUUUGCAAUUUGAUUCAUUAAAACCUUAAUAUCUGAAUUGCUCGUAUCUCACAAUUUACCCGACCAAUUCUAAAGUUAAUUUUAUAAUUAUAGUAUUUAAUAUCAAACCUCAAAAUUUAGCCCUUAAUAGCACAUACAUUAUCAAAUAAUUUAAACUUAAUUCACUAUCACCCACCACAUUUUUAACAUGCUGUUGCUUAAAUCUAACCGACUCCAUUCAUGCAUGAACUUAAUCUAUUCACAUCAAAGGUCUAAAACCUAUUCAUGACAUGGACUUUUAUUAUCUAUCAGUAAUGUAACUCAAAUUGAAAAUUACAACUCGCCAUUUUUUUCCAAUUGAAGCUACGACAUUAUUAGUGAAAUGGACGGAAAUUGUUUCUUUCCUUUCUCGGUGGAGGGUGAAAGAGAAUGGAGAACGAUAUAAUCUUCUCUCUGGGGUAAUUAGAUAAUUAAUUAAUUACUACUCAAGAUUAACAUUAAUUAGUGGAGAAUGAUGACACCAUUAGUAAUUAGUCAUGUCUCAUAAAUUAUAUAUGGUUUAAUCGUUAGUAUGAACUUAGUUUAAUUUCGCAUUUGCUAACUUGAACAUUAAUUUCCUUUCAUUUUAAUCACUAACCGAUUUAGUAUUUUUACUAUUUUUAUUAACCGAUUUAAUUAAAUAACACUUAAUGAUUUAACCUUUCCAUUUUAAUUUUCUAUUGAACUCAAUUCAAUAUAUUUAGUCUGAAACUGAACUUUUCAACACCAUUAAAAAUUGAAUCAUUAUAUCUUUAUUUUAGGAAUCAAACCAACUCCGAUAACUAAGAUAAACUAUCUCCCAAUUGGACUUAUAGACAACAUAAUUGUCCCCUAAAAUUUAAAUCAUCUGCUCAAUAUGAUUUUACGAACUAUGGACAAAUUAGAUUACCUACUAAUAUAAUGUAUUUUCUCACAUUAUAAUUCAUCCAUAUAAUGUAUCUUAUUAUUGGUUAAACCUAGGAUAAUUAAUUAGUUAAUAUUUUUUUUAUACAUUUUGCUUCUAAUAACCAUCGAGGACAUUCAUAUAAAUAUUAAUUAAAUAAGCAUGCGGUAGUUUUUUUAUUCAAUCAUUUUGAAUAAAUUACAAGCAUAGUCACAAUGAAAUAACUACACUAAAGGCACAAAUUUUAACAUUUAGACUCGACCUGUCCCAUUUUCAAUUUUAUAAUAUGUUGUUUUUUGUUUUUUAUAUAUUUUAUAUCAUACGAAAAUUAAAUAUAUUAUAUCAUAAUAUAAUAUAAAGACUAAAAAGUAAAUUUUAGAAAUAUAUAAAGAAAAACCACAUAACUGUACUAAAAGAUAUAUAUUUACUAAAAAUUAAAAUUCUUUAAAAUAAAAAAAAAUGAAAAACUUGAGUUGGACAAAAAGUAUGUAUUAGCCAAACAAUAAAACUUGUGAUUGGUGAAAAACAUAAGAUGAACAGAUAUAAUCCUACUAAACCAAAGAUACUAAGGGCCAGUUCUUUAUUGCUUUUGAGAAAUUUGAGUGUUUGGCAUUGCUGUCAAAAAGUGCUUUUGAAGAAUAAAAUGUCCAUUUUAGGCAUGAGAUUAUAAAGUAACAAAUAUGUAUUUAAAUAAUGUUCAAAUUAGUUAAUAUUAUGAUAUUUUAGCAAAAAUAUAAAAAAAAUAAUUUAUUAUAACUUAUUGUUAAUAUUUUAAUAUAUAAUAUUAAUUUUAAAUAUUUCUAAGUACUCAAUAUUAAUUAUAAAAUUUAAUUAGAAUAUAUAAAUUAUAUUUAAAUAUUUAAAUAUAAAAAUUAAAUAUUUGUAAUUAAAUAUUGACACGAUUGUAUUAUUAUAAAAAUUAUUUUUUAUUUUUAAUUAAUACUUUUAACACAUUUGUAUUAUUUUAUUAUAAAAUAUUACAUAUAUUUGGAUUAAAAUUUUAAAAAGGGAUAAUAUUUAUAUACCAAAUAUAAAUACUAAAAAUUUGUCAAUAGCAUUUACAAUUUAAAGUGAAUUCAUUAAACUAGAUGCUAUAUUUGAUAAGCAUAUGAAAAUGAUUUGGUUAUAUUCAAUAAAUGAUUUGGUUAAUACAAUACUUAUAUUUGAUAAGCAUAUGAAAAUGAUUUGGUUAAUACAAUACUUAUAUUUGAUAAGCAUAUGAAAAUGAAAGUCGAGACUGUCUGAUGAAGAACACAAAAAAGAAUAUUUCAUGGAAAGAAGAUUGUUAGGAUGAAUUCUUCAAUUCCAAUCAUUUAAAUAACGGGUCUCAGGAACCAAGCAAUAUGCCAAAUUAGUGGACAGUCCACAUCAUUAACAUUGCAUACUGUUUUAAGAUGAACAAGAAUGGAACUAAAGUGUCUACCGAGGAGUAACAUACUGCUAUUUUUGUAAAUAAAGUACAGAAAGUGUAUAAAUAGAUGGUUGAAUAACACAUAUCCAGAAAAGAUCAUUGCCAAUAAGCCACUAACAAAGUAGCCUCAUAAACAAAGAAAUAGUUCUUAGGUUCUGCCUAAAUUUUAUGAUAAUGACAUAAAACUACAUCAAAGAUCAGAGUCGAACUUUGUUCAUAAGAACAUAAAAUAAAUCAUUGGCAAGAAACAAUUUUGCAGCAUGUCAUAUGUGUUGAGCAUCCAAAGGAAAUGCAAAGUUCUAAAUCAAAAAAAUAAAAUAGAUACCAAUUAGUAGGUAUAAAUAGACCUAUUAGAGAGGCAACAUAUACUACCCCUUUCUUUUAUGGUGAUCAUCAUAUUAUAUAUUUUUAGCAUAUAAUUGUGUUGUGUUCCAAGUUCUCAAAUCUAAUAUUUCUUUUUAAGGAAAGAUCGGA